rnacentral:lncRNA from 1 species
UAAUACUUAUUUCGUAUUUAAAUAAUAAAAUAAAAAUAAUAUGUUCUAUUUUAAAGCAUCAAUAUUUAAGAACUAAGAAAAUUACAGGAGUGACAGUAGGGAAAAAAAUUACGAAAUAAAAAUUACAGAAGGAGUGAUAGUAGGAGUGAUAGUAGGGAAGUGACAUGCAAUAUCUAUAUCUAUACUGCUUAUAAAAGCAUGAGUUUUGAAUUUUUUUCUCUUUCCAAAAAUGCAUCUAUCCUUUUUACUAAUAUUUUUAUGUCCAGUAAUUUUCAACCAAUCAUUUCAAAUAAUUAACUAAGUAAUAAUUUAUUCCCAAAUAAAAAUAAAUAUUUUUCUUCUCACACGGCAACGUAAUAUCCAUGAAUUUCUCAAAUAUCUCAACAUGACUUUGAAAUAAAAUUCCCUUCAUUAUAGGUGAUUUUUAAUAAUAUAGUAAAAGAUAUUAAUUUUUUGCCAUUAGAUCUUAUCUGUUACUUUUUGUGACAAUAUUAUCCUUGCAUUUAUAUCAUAUUUUUUAUCUACGCGUUUCUCAAAUAUUUUCCUUCUCACGCGUAAUAUCCGCACCCGCCAAUUCUUUCGCAACGUAAUAUCCGUGAAUUUCUCAAAUAUCUCAACAUAAUUAUAGUUAUAGGUGACUUUGAAAUAAAAUUCCCUUCAUUAUAGGUGAUUUUUAAUAAUAUCGUAAAAGAUAUUAUUUUUUUGCCAUUAGAUCUUAUCUGUUACUUUUUGUGACAAUAUUAUCCUUGCAUUUAUAUCAUAUUUUUUAUCUACGCGUUUCUCAAAUAUUUUCCUUCUCACGCGUAAUAUCCGCACCCGCCAAUUCUUUCGCAACGUAAUAUCCGUGAAUUUCUCAAAUAUCUCAACAUAAUUAUAGUUGAAGGUGACUUUGAAAUAAAAUUCCCUUCAUUAUAGGUGAUUUUUAAUAAUAUCGUAAAAGAUAUUAUUUCCUUAAAAAAUCUAAUUUUAUUUUUCCUAAAAUAGAAAAUCUAUAUUUGAGCUUGUAAUAAUUUAUUCCCAAAUAAAGAUAAAUAUUUUCUUUCUCACGCGUAAUAUCCGCACCCGCCAAUUCUUUCGCAACAUAAUAUCCGUGAAUUUCUCAAAUAUCUCAACAUAAUUAUAAGUGACUUUGAAAUAAAAAUAAAGAUAAAUAUUUUCUUUCUCACGCGUAAUAUCCGCACCCACCAAUUCUUUCGCAACGUAAUAUCCAUGAAUUUCUCAAAUAUCUCAACAUAAUUAUAGGUGAUUUUGAAAUUCACCAUAAUUAUAGGUGACUUUGAAAUAAAAUCCUCUUCAUUAUAGGUGAUUUUUAAUAAUAUAGUAAAAGAUAUUAAUUUUUUGCCAUUAGAUCUUAUCUAAUGAUUGAAAAUAAAAGUAUCUGUUACUUUUUGUGACAAUAUUAUUCUCGCAUGCAUUUAUAUCAUAUUUACGUAAUAUCUGCACCCGCCAAUUCUUUCGCAACGUAAUAUCCGUGAAUUUUUCAAAUAUCUCAACAUAAUUAUAGGUGACUUUGAAAUAAAAUUUCCUUUGAUUUUUAAUAAUAUCGUAAAAGAUAUUAUUUCCUUAAAAAUCUAAUUUUAUUUUUCCUAAAGUAGAAAAUCUAUAUUUGAGCUUGUAAUAAUUUAUUCCCAAAUAAAGAUAAAUAUUUUCUUUCUCACACGUAAUAUCCGCACCCGCUAAUUCUUUCGCAACAUAAUAUCCGUGAAUUUCUAAAAUAUCUCAACAUAAUUAUAAGUGACUUUGAAAUAAAAAUAAAGAUAAAUAUUUUCUUUUUCAUGCGUAAUAUCCGCACCCGCCAAUUCUUUCGCAACGUAAUAUCCGUGAAUUUCUCAAAUAUCUC